rnacentral:rRNA from 1 species
AGUGAACGCUGGCGGUAGGCCUAACACAUGCAAGUCGAACGGCAGCACAGUAAGAGCUUGCUCUUACGGGUGGCGAGUGGCGGACGGGUGAGGAAUACAUCGGAAUCUACUUUUUCGUGGGGGAUAACGUAGGGAAACUUACGCUAAUACCGCAUACGACCUACGGGUGAAAGCAGGGGAUCUUCGGACCUUGCGCGAUUGAAUGAGCCGAUGUCGGAUUAGCUAGUUGGCGGGGUAAAGGCCCACCAAGGCGACGAUCCGUAGCUGGUCUGAGAGGAUGAUCGGCAACCCUGAAACUGAGACAGGGUCAAGACCCCUAGGGGAGGCAGAAGUGGGGAAUAUUCGCCAAUGGGGGAAAGCCUGAGCCAGCAAUACCGCGGGGGUGAAGAAGGCCUUCGGGUGGUAAAGCCCUUUUGUUGGGAAGGAAAAGUGGCAGGUUAACUACGCGCUGUUCUGAGGGUACCAAAAGAAUAAGCACCGGCUAAUUUGGU